GACAGAGGGUGCAAACGUUGUUCGGAAUUACUGGGCGUAAAGGGCGCGUAGGCGGUUUCGUAAGUCCCGUGUGAAAGCCCCCGGCUCAACUGGGGAAUUGCACGGGAAACUGCGAGGCUUGAGUUCGGGAGAGGGAAGCGGAAUUCCGGGUGUAGCGGUGAAAUGCGUAGAUAUCCGGAGGAACACCGGUGGCGAAGGCGGCAUUCUGGACCACAACUGACACUGAGAGACGAAAGCCAGGGGAGCAAACGGG
rnacentral:rRNA from 1 species